UGGCAGACGUGGUGCCCGGCCGACGUGGGUUGGCCAGUGUCGGGUAUGACCUGCUCGGUGGUGGAGGUGCCCAGUUGUCGCUCCCAGCUGCCCGCCCGUCUCACAGGGGUCUGCCUUCCUCCCGCCCCCGUCACCCACCUCCACUCCAACCCGUCCAGUCACCUCUGUCAGCCAUGACCUCUGUGUUCUCCCGGGAGCAUAUCAGCGACUCGAGUGUGUGGCAGAGCUAGUAAAAGUACAGUAGUGUUGCAGGUGGCAAGUGGAGGUGUGGUGUUGCACACAGGUGGAGGGUUGUGAGACCUGCAUGCGAAGCACUCCAACAGGUGCCAGCAGGUGUGUGAACCAGUGACACCAACUGGGUGAAGGACAGGCGCAGCAGCUGGAGCUGAGGACCAGUGUAGUGCAGGUGUGCAUCCCAAGUGCCAGUUGGUGUGUUCCGCCGCGGGAUCCAGAGCCAGGAGUGCCGCCGGCGGAGCUGCAGCCCACGUGGUGGCUGAGGUGCCAGAGUGCGGGGGGGCUACGCUGGUAAGGCCAUGGUGGCCCAGUGCGGCCCGAGGUGGCCCGGGGCUAGACACACAUGAAGGAGGCUCGCAGGCGGGUGCGGCCCUACCCGAGUGUGGCCUCCCUGCAGGCAGGACGCGAGCCAGCGGGUGCGGGCCGGCGGGCCACGAUGGUAGCAGGACCAUGACCCGUCUGGUGUGGCCCGCCAUGCUGGUGCUGCUUGUGCUGGCCGUCGCUGGCCCUUCACUCACAUUCUACCUCCUGAUCAAGGACUACUGGGCGGAGGUGUCCUCGUUGAGACGGGACCUGCUCUUCUGCCAGCUGGGCAACACACAGCUGCCUCUCGAGUUUGACCUGGACCUCGAGGUUGCCGCAUCCUCGCAUACUGUGCUGCCUCUGCCCCCCACACCCCUGCCUCUCGUCGCCACCACUGCCUCCACCAUCACCACCACCACCACGUUGUCGAGGUCACUCCCGACCAUUGUACACAGUAAUCCCUCGCCUCCGUCCUCCUUGGCGUCGACUAAUCCGCCAUCUUCUGCUUCUUCUCCGUCAUCAGAUUCUUCUUCAACAGUUCUCAUUUCGCGGGUACCAAUUUUAUCUUCCCCAGCGCCGUCCGUUCCUGCGAUCUCCUCAGUGUCGUCGGGGAGUUCAGGGAUCCCAGCGAUGGUAGGAGUGGCCAGACCAGAUGUCAUGCCCUUGCAUGAUACUCCAGGCAGGCACCUGGAGGAAGGUGCAUGGCGGAGACCGGGUUGGAGAGCAACACGGCCCCCACGGAGCCUCAGUAGAAGCAUGGUGGCUGACCAGUCUACCGCCUCAGACUCCACCGACGUCGCUGAAAAGGAGUACGUUUCACUGCUGGAGAAACAGCUGCGUGACCUGAGAGCGAGAGUGAACGCUUGCAGGUCGUGCCUGCCCACCCCACAGAGGAAGUUGGCGACCUGUGGCGGCGGCAAGGCCUGGAGGGAUUACCGCCGCAGAAGACGACUCCUCCGCCGCAUGGAGCGAGAACAGAGAAGGGAAAGACGUCGCCGGAAAAAGAGCAGACAAUUAAAAAAAAUCCUCGAUGAUACGGCUUCCAGAAUGCCGACUACUGCGCCUACCACCACACCUGCUACCACCGCGCCUCCAACCACCGCACCCACUACCACGGCGCCCACUACCACGGCGCCCACAACCACGGCGCCCACUACCACGGCGCCCACUAUCAUCGCGCCUCCUACCAUUCCCACAACGGUAGCAGGCGCUGACGGGGACCAAGUCUUGGCCGACGUGGCAUAUGGCGACCAGAAGCUGGACAACAAGAGAGCCCGCGAGACGCAUCGCAUGAGCACUGACUUCCGGCGCGGGUUCAACCAGAAGAUCUCGCGCAUGGACGAGGCGCUCAUGCAGUUCACUGACACGCAGGCCGCCUUCUGCAAGGAGCUCCGCGACAACUUGGGCGGGCGGCUGGAGAAGCGGGGCCAGGAGCUGGAGGCGCUCUCAAACCAGAUCGCCGCGCUCGUCAGGACCUCUACCGCCCAGAUCACCGCCCUGGAGAAGGUCGCCUCCGACCAGCUGUACGCUGGGCAGGCGAGCAUUGAGAAGAGCCUGGCUGUGACCCAGGCCAUUCGGGACUCCCAGCUGCGGGCCAUCCAGAACUACCACAAGCAGACCUUCCUCCCUGCCGCCGCCGCCGUCGCCACCAUCCUCACGGAUCAGGCCUCCGCUCUCACCUCCAUGGGAGUCGAACUCAUCACCAAGGUAGAGAUGCUGCAAGACGUUUACCUGACAUACGCCACCCGGCAGGCAGACACCCUGCAGAAGCUGACGGAGGACGUGGACAUGUUCGCCUCCAAACACAACAACCUGGUGAUGCGCUCCAGAGACCACGCCAAGCACCUCCAGAUCAACACCCACGGUUUCGUCAGGGAGCUGCAGACGAGGAUGAGCAACGUUGUGAAGGAACUCGUCCUCAUUCGGCUUCAGAGUCAAAAUUUCGUCUCGAUCAACAAUGAUUCCCACAAUGACUUCUCCAACAGCCUCAACUUGACCCAGGCAGCAGUAGACACCCUCUCAGAGCGUCUCAAGGCUCGCCUCGACAACGCCACGGUGCUCGAGCAAGACUUCAGGAAGAUCUUCAAGAGGGAGACCAACCAUUUUAGUGAUAGAGUCGAGAGCGGCAUUAGUCAAGCGCUGGCGUCCAACCACGAGAGCAUCAGUCAGGUGGAGGAGGCGGAGCUGGACACGCGGGUGUUCGUGGGCUCCGCUACUGCCGCCUGGAACGAACUCUACCUCAACCAGGAGGCGGAACUGCGUAAGGAGGCCGACUCUCUAACCCACAGCCUGCGCAGUCACACCCACCACACGCAGAACGUCCUAACAGGCAUGCGCAGUGCAGCCGAGACGCAUGAAUUGGUUUUAGAGGAACAGCGAAUGAACUUUCAGCGUUUUAUCCGGAAGCGACAAGACGCCUUGGACAACCAGUGCUCGGCCAUCAGUGACUGGGCCACGCUCAUGUCGACGGAGCUCCGCAGACGGGACGAGGACCUCCACAAGUUCCUGAGUGAAGAUCUCCAGUACACCACAGUGACGGUGCAGGAGGACGAGGACGGGUACCUGGUAUCAAGAUUGCCUGACGGUUCCCUGGUAUACCAGUCGUCCCCCGCCCACGCCCGUGCUGCCGCCCGCCCACCGCCCAAUAAAUACGAUGGGUCUCUUGGAUGACAAGGGAUUCCAUUGGAAGAUAUUUGUCAUGUUUUGGCUGUGCAGGAUCCAGCAGAUGGUAAGCUACCAGUUAGACGAGACAGCCUAUAACCCUGGCCUGGUCUCGUCUACGUCACAUUCUAGUCCCAGUAGACCUCAGUUGGAGAAGACUGUAGUCACUUAUGUAAAUAACACACUUAACAAAUU
rnacentral:misc_RNA from 1 species